GUGCUCACUUUGGCAACACCAAUAUUAUAAUUGGAAUGAUAUGAGAAAAUUAGGAUGGCCCUAUGUAAGACUGACAUGCAAUUUUGAGAAGUGUGCGCAUAUUUU